GAUUCCAUGGUGUAGUGGUUAUCACAUCCGCUUAACACGCGGAAGGUCCUGGGUUCAAUCCCCAGUGGAAUCA
rnacentral:tRNA from 1 species